UUCCUUGGAAAAGGACAGCUGAGAGGGUGAAACUCCCGUCCGCCUGGUAGAAUGAGUCUUUGUCAACGAGUCGAGUUGUUUGGGAUUGCAGCUCUAAUUUGGUGGUAAAUUCCAUCUAAAGCUAAAUAUUGGUGGGAGACCGAUAGCGUACAAGUACCGUGAGGGAAAGAUGCAAAGAACUUUGAAAAGAGAGUUAAAGAGUACCUGAAAUUGCUGAAACGGAAGCGAAGGAAACCNGUGUUUGUUGGUUCAUAUUUCCUNGGCCACUUGUGGUUUGGGCG
rnacentral:rRNA from 1 species